UACGAAGGGGGCUAGCGUUGCUCGGAAUCACUGGGCGUAAAGCGCACGUAGGCGGAUUGCUAAGUCAGGGGUGAAAUCCCGGAGCUCAACUUCGGAACUGCCCUUGAUACAGCACGUCUUGAGUCCGGAAGAGGUGGGUGGAAUUCCUAGUGUAGAGGUGAAAUUCGUAGAUAUUAGGAAGAACACCGGUGGCGAAGGCGGCCCACUGGUCCGGUACUGACGCUGAGGUGCGAAAGCGUGGGGAGCAAACAGG
rnacentral:rRNA from 1 species